rnacentral:tRNA from 1 species
GCCUUCGUGGUGUAGUGGUAAGCACACUGAGUCGGUAUUUCAGAGGUCCGUGGUUCGAUUCCCGGCGAAGGCA